GUUCUCACACCUGUUUGUCCAUCUGACAGAACAUGGAUGAAGCAGUUGCCCACUGAACCCUGUCUGAGAUCCAUCGCACGGGACAUCUGUUUGGUUCUUAAGAUCUAAGAUGCCCAGAUUUGAUCUUACGAAGAUGAGCUCAGGCCUCACGUGCCUGCCACCCCCACCAUCUCAGUAAAGCACAAUCUGUUUGGAGCUGAGGGCCGUCCGUCACCCACCCUAGAAUCGCUGGUCUUGCUUCGCCAUGUCCCCAACUCACAGCCUGAGGAGACUGACCCAGUCAUUACUAUCUGAGCUGAACACAAGUUCUGCAUGAAGAAGCAGAACUCAGGCGUCACUUUCAGUCUAGAAGAAGCUCGUCUUUGAAAAGCAUCUUUUCCGAGUUUCUGUAAUUCUCUCUCUUUCUCUCUCUUUCUCUCUCUUUCCUCUCUCCUUCUUUUGGAGGGUGGGUUGGGAGUGGGGAGUGGUUAGCAUUUUGUGUUUUCAUAAAAGCCAUAUUCCACUCAUGCUAUUCUGUAGUGCCCGCUCGGAGCCAGGUCUAUUUUUUUUUAUAAAGCAUUUGGCACUCUGAA